AGAGUUUGAUCAUGGCUCAGGACGAACGCUGGCGGCGUGCCUAAUACAUGCAAGUCGAACGCUUCUGCUUUAACUGAUGCUUGCAUCGACCUAAGUUAGAAGAGUGGCGAACGGGUGAGUAACACGUGGGUAACCUGUCCAUCAGAGGGGGAUAACACUUGGAAACAGGUGCUAAUACCGCAUAACACUAAAAACCGCAUGGUUUUUGGUUGAAAGGCGCUUCUGGUGUCGCUGAUGGAUGGACCCGCGGUGCAUUAGCUAGUCGGUGGGGUAACGGCCUACCGAGGCAAUGAUGCAUAGCCGACCUGAGAGGGUGAUCGGCCACAUUGGGACUGAGACACGGCCCAAACUCCUACGGGAGGCAGCAGUAGGGAAUCUUCGGCAAUGGACGCAAGUCUGACCGAGCAACGCCGCGUGAGUGAUGAAGGUUUUCGGAUCGUAAAACUCUGUUGUUAGAGAAGAACAAGAGAAGUAGUAACUGGCUUCUCCUUGACGGUAUCUAACCAGAAAGCCACGGCUAACUACGUGCCAGCAGCCGCGGUAAUACGUAGGUGGCAAGCGUUGUCCGGAUUUAUUGGGCGUAAAGCGAGCGCAGGCGGUCUUUUAAGUCUGAUGUGAAAGCCCACGGCUUAACCGUGGAGGGUCAUUGGAAACUGGGAGACUUGAGUGCAGAAGAGGAAAGUGGAACUCCAUGUGUAGCGGUGAAAUGCGUAGAUAUUAGGAAGAACACCGGUGGCGAAGGCGGCUUACUGGACUGAAACUGACGCUGAGUCACGAAAGCGUGGGGAGCGAACAGGAUUAGAUACCCUGGUAGUCC
rnacentral:rRNA from 1 species